UUUAAAAAGAAAUAAUUGGAACUAAAAAUGGCUGUACCAGCUGAGCCAGAGGACAGGAAAAGAAGCUGCGAGAUCCAGGAGAAAGGUCUCAUAGAGUCCAGUGUUUACAAGACCAGAAAUACCACUGCCGAGUCCUUCUGGAGAGAAAGACUGAAAUAGAGGACUGUCGCCUUCCUUAUAAGCUCAUUGGAGUCUGCGCCAGCACGGUAGAAAAAGCAACCUCGAAGCCAGAGAGAGAGAGAGAGUGCGCGCUAAAGGAAGAAAGACACUCAGCUCGCCAGCCGGAGAUGAAAGGGAACCACGCAGAGCAAUGCAGGGAAAGGAGCCAGGCGGCAGGUCCCCGAACAAAUGUCGCAGAGGGCAGGACAGGCACUCAUGGACAGAGGUUUCUAUAUUUUUAAUUUUUAAACCUGAAUUUGGGCUGGACCCGAAGAAAAGGGAAAAUUCAGGGAUGGGGAAGGGGGAAGCAGUUAUCUCGGUUCUUGCUGGCAGCAUUAACACCUAAGGAGGAAAGAAGGAUGGCUAAACCCGAGUGGGCACGGGGCAGCGCCGGGGCAACAGCCGUGUGCUGCUCACACGCCGCAGGGCCCGGUCCUGGAAGCCCCCCCUCGUGGCCGCCGGAGCUUCCUUGCUCUCCUUAUCAUCUCCAUCUUUAUGACGAGGCUUGUUAACAAGACCAGCGAGCUGGCCACGCACAUCUAUCUCAGCCGCUUGCGCUCAGCCGAGCAGUGGCCGGCGGGGGGACUGGGAGGCGCUAAUUAAUUGAUUCCUUUGGACUGUAAAAUAUGGCCGCGUCUACACGGAACCCGUGGACUCAUAAACAAUAUCUCUGCUGGAUGUGAGCACACUGUCUUUCAAAGAAUUUUGCCAUAGGUAUGUGUCAGAGAGUUCUGGGGUUUUAGUUGCUAAGACCCAAGUGGGACUAAUUUUUAGGAGGCCAGAACAGCUCAGUGUCAGAAAAUGGCUCUCCAAAAAGCAUUGGGAAUGGACUUAGUUGAGAAAAACGGGUAAAAAAAACCGCACCUUGGGCUGUGGGAUAGUCUUUCUCUGGUGCUUGUGUAGACCCAGUGCAGAUUAAGGAUGGGAACCAGUGGCUAAGAAGGCCGGCAUUCUUUCCACCCUAGCUGGGUGUAGGGCAGUGGGCCUUCCCAGAUUUGUGAGAGAUCUAGAAGCCCACCCCCUGUUUCAUGUUGCUCCCUAGACUCAAGAAUUUAAAAUAAAAAUGUAAAACUUAAACAAACCUUACCCUUCAGGAACCCUUGAGCGCCCAGCACACCGCCAAGAAUCAAAGAGCCUGCUACAUACCUUGCCAGAGCCUGAAGGCUUCCCCCUUUCUGCCUGGCAGCAAGGAGUGUUUCUGUAACACAUUUACCUUAGACCUAAAAGAGUGCAUCGAGACACAUGAGGUGACCUAGUUAUACAAGGCUCGUUCUAUACGUAUGAUUAUGCAGUGGACCCUGAUGCGAACAGGACUUAGUAUGUUCUAAAUAUGUAUUCCAGCUUCAGGU